rnacentral:rRNA from 1 species
AUUGAACGCUGGCGGCAGGCCUAACACAUGCAAGUCGAACGAGUGGCGGACGGGUGAGUAAUGUCGGGGAAACUGCCUGAUGGAGGGGGAUAACUACUGGAAACGGUAGCUAAUACCGCAUACCAUCAGAUGUGCCCAUAUGGGAUUAGCUUGUUGGUGGGGUAACGGCUCACCAAGGCGACGAGCCCUAGCUGGCCUGAGAGGAUGACAGAGCAGACUGGCACGGAGACACGGCCCAGACCCCUACGGGAGGCAGCAGUAGGGAAUAUUUGCAAAUGGGAGCAAGCCUGAUGCAGCCACGCCGCGUGUAUGAAUAAGGCCUUCGGGUUGUAAAAUUCUUUCAGCGGGGAGGCGGUACCCGCAGAAGAAGCACCGGCUAACUCCGUGCCAGCAGCCGCGGUAAUAC